CAGAGUAGCGGUGCCCUCUGGGCGCCUACUCCCACCCUUUGUGAACUUGCCUCUGUUGCUUUGGCGGGCCGGGUGCCCCAAGCGCCGCCGGCUUCGGCUGGAGAGCGCCCGCCAGAGGACCCAUCAACCCGUCCAACGGUACCAUCUGAGUCUACACAAGAAAACA
rnacentral:misc_RNA from 1 species